rnacentral:rRNA from 1 species
UACAGAGGUCCCGAGCGUUGUUCGGAAUCAUUGGGCGUAAAGCGCGUGUAGGCGGUCCGGUAAGUCCGCUGUGAAAGUCGGGGGCUCAACCCUCGGAUGCCGGUGGAUACUGUCGGGCUUGAGUACGGAAGAGGCGAGUGGAAUUCCUGGUGUAGCGGUGAAAUGCGCAGAUAUCAGGAGGAACACCAAUUGCGAAGGCAGCUCGCUGGGACGUUACUGACGCUGAGACGCGAAAGCGUGGGGAGCAAACAGG